ACGGAUGUUAUCAAAGCAAAUUACGUAGUACCAUUUGGGGGCAAUUUUCACCCUUUUAAACUGUCUAAUGUGCUUAGACGAACCACAUUACUAGUAGCACUGGCCAUAUAAGCAGCUCAAUAGGAUUGCGGAGUUGCAUUCAGAUCAACGGGAUUUAACAAGAACACAAUUUAUCAGACAUAUUUCCCGCCAACCAAAAAGAUGGAAACCAAGAGCCUCGUAGCCUUGUUUCUUGUUUCGUGCAUUUUUGUCUCUGUCUGUUUUCAACCCGCCGCCUCUCAAGGUCUUCGAUGGGGAAGAGAAUAUGAAGAGGAAGAAGAAAACCAUCGAGUGAAUCCAGUGAAAGCCGAUUAUCUCAGGCGCAAAGAGAUGCACAGAACAUUUGAAGAUGCCGCAGAUGAGGCCAACUUUGAUUAUAACAGACGCUGAGUUCUAUUGGAAUAUCCUACACACCCAAACGGACUGGACUGGACAUUUGAUUGAAUCACUGAGCUUUCGUAGCCCGUUACUAUGGGAAAAUUUACUUUUAAUUGAUGCAUAAUUAUUAUUUAGUAGAGGAGAUAAGUUAAGCUUGUAAAAUGAAAUCAUACAGCAAUAAAACGCAAUCUGAACGAUGUCAGAAUAAAAA